CGGGCGGAUAAUCGCGCGGGGGCAUAAGCCUCCGUGAGGAAAGUCCGGACAUCCAAAAAGGCAGAUUGCUUGGGAAAGCCAAGUGCGCGCGAGCGUGAGGACAGUGCCACAGAAAAGUAGAAUGCUGAACAACCCUUAAAAUAGCAUUGUGCCGCAAGGUACAGGCGCAAUAAGGCGUACAGCGAUUGUGCAACGGCGGGGUAAGAGCCCACCGCUGAAACCGCGAGGUUUCAGGCAUGGUAAACCCCAAUCGGAUGCAAGUUUGAAUUUGCAGGAAGGGUGCCUUUUCCCGCCCGAAAGGGACUGCAUAAAAAAAUGCAUUAGACAGAUGAUUAUCUGAAAAACAGAAUCCGGCUUAUUG
rnacentral:RNase_P_RNA from 1 species